CCCCAGACUCCUACGGGAGGCAGCAGUGGGGGAUAUUGCACAAUGGGGGAAACCCUGAUGCAGCGACGCCGCGUGAGUGAAGAAGUAUUUCGGUAUGUAAAGCUCUAUCAGCAGGGAAGAAGAAAGACGGUACCUGAGUAAGAAGCCCCGGCUAACUACGUGCCAGCAGCCGCGGUAAUACGUAGGGGGCAAGCGUUAUCCGGAUUUACUGGGUGUAAAGGGAGCGUAGACGGUAUGGCAAGUCUGAAGUGAAAGCCCCGGGCUCAACCUGGGAACUGCUCUGGAAACUGUGCGGCUAGAGUACUGGAGGGGCAGGCGGAAUUCCUAGUGUAGCGGUGAAAUGCGUAGAUAUUAGGAGGAACACCAGUGGCGAAGGCGGCCUGCUGGACAGUAACUGACGUUGAGGCUCGAAAGCGUGGGGAGCAAACAGGAUUAGAUACCCCCGUAGUU
rnacentral:rRNA from 1 species